AUCCCCACCUCCACAGCCCCACCGCAUCUCCGCCCCCUCCCGCCUUCCGCCGCCGGCCGGAAAUCGCCUCCGCCGGCGGCGGUGCUCCAAAUAACCCAAAAAAUACACCAUGGAAUCCUCUCAUCCUCCUCUUUCCAACCCCCAACCUAAUUUCCCUCAAAUCACAACCAAAAUGCUCGGAUUUCAAAUCUAAAAUUCUGCCAAAACCCUACCUUCUCCAAACUCAACCAAAUUAACACCAUACACUCCCCUCACCCUCCUCAUUCCAAAUCUCCAAACAACAACCUUCAAAACUUAACCAAAAUACUUGAAUUUUAAAUCUAAAACCAACGAAACCCUAGUUCAAAAUCUUUGAGAUUCUCGACCCUAAUAUCCUUAACCAGGUGUCUUCUUGUGAAGACACAUGGUUAGGUAUAUUACGGGUCAAGAAUCUUAAAAAAGAUUCGCGUGUCCGGGGAUCGAAUCAAGUUUGGCCGCCUCUAGAUACCAAAAACAGUAUCUUUCCUAGCCCAAUGAACCAUGACUAAGUGCUAAUCAUGUAACUCAGUGACUAUGAUGGAAUACAAAUUGCAUUUCGAUUCAA